AGUUUUUGAUGGUCAUGGAGGUGCUAGGGCUGCAGAAUAUGUGAAACACAACCUUUUCAGUAACCUGAUUAGGCAUCCAAAAUUUAUCUCUGACACCAAAUCUGCCAUAGCUGAUGCAUACAACCAUACAGACUCUGAGUUUCUGAAAUCAGAAAACAAUCAGCACAAAGAUGCUGGAUCAACUGCUUCUACUGCCAUACUUGUGGGUGAUCGUCUACUUGUUGCAAAUGUGGGCGAUUCUAGAGCUGUUAUUUGCAGGGGUGGCACAGCUAUUGCUGUUUCUCGAGACCACAAGCCUGACCAAACAGAUGAGCGACAGCGCAUCGAAGAUGCUGGAGGUUUUGUGAUGUGGGCAGGUACCUGGAGAGUUGGAGGUGUACUUGCUGUUUCUCGUGCUUUUGGCGAUAGACUUUUAAAGCAGUACGUUGUCGCUGAUCCAGAAAUACAGGAGGAAAAGGUCGAUGGCUCUCUUGAAUUUCUCAUCCUUGCAAGUGAUGGACUCUGGGACGUUGUAACGAAUGAGGAGGCUGUCUCGAUGGUUAAGCCGAUCCAAGAUCCUGAAGAUGCAGCUAAGAGGCUGAUGCAGGAAGCAUAUCAAAGAGGCAGUGCAGAUAACAUCACCAUUGUGGUUGUCCGUUUUCUGGGUAACCAAGAGGGUUCCUCCCGAGGUACCUCAGCUUAAAAAGUAAUUACCACUUCUAACUCGUGGUAAUAAAACGACAAGAAAACCCAUAGGACGUAACGUAAAUAUUGAAUAUAGAUAGAUUUCUGGGUUUAUGAUGUAAGGAAAAUCUUUAGAAUUGAACAUUGUCAAAGCUUUCUCUCAACUUGUAUGAAGUGUUCAAGAGUGAAUCUGGGCAUAAGUCAAAUCCCAAAUUAUUGAUGUUCUAUGUUUAACAUACAGUAGCUUUAUAAUAUAUACUGCUGUUUUCUUGUAAUCCCCAUUUUAUUGCAUUUUGAUUCACCAGUGUAUAACAACAUUUGUUAUAUUAUAUCUAUAUAGUCCGACUUUUCUAUAACAGUCAUCUCUGUCUUCACCAGUAGUCUUUACAAGAACACUCUCCACCUUUAAAGUGAUGAAACCUGUUCCUAUCUCUAACGAUGAUUUCGAGAUUAUAAACUUUUGAGAUGAACUUACUUGCUUGAUGACAG
rnacentral:misc_RNA from 1 species